rnacentral:lncRNA from 1 species
GCGGGGGAAGAAGACGCUGCCUCCGCUUACUGCCGGUUUCUGGAGAGCGGCUUGCGCAACGUUCGGGUCACGUAGCCCUGCACGUCGCAGAUCCAGCUAGCGGUUGCUCCUGCGGAGAGCAGAGAUACGUCGUAUGGAAAGGCUUGCUUCGGAGGUGCAGCUGAUCCCACCUAAUGCUCACCUGAAUUUCUUCCGGCCUGUGGCGUGAGCGUGAGAGUCUCCAGGGAAUAAACUGGAAGCCGCAGCGGUCUGAGACGUAGCAAAUGGAACUUAUGGAGAACAGAGAGAUGCUCUCCGCGAGGGCUCCGCCGCAGCAUCGGGACUCGGAGAAGCGGCUCAGGGAGCGCGGUGCCCGGCGGGGGAGGCAGCAGGAGCAGAAUUUGGAAGGACAUUCUUGCCAUAAAAUCUUCAUUCCUGAACGUAUAUGAGCCAAGAAUGUCUUGCUGCCAAUUUAGGGACAGACUGUCAGCCCUGCUGGGAGCUAUAAGAUACUGCAUGCCAGCAGUUGGAUUUAUGGACCAUCUAAGACACAGGAAAACGAAUGAACACUUUAUUGACUGUUUUCCCUGAAACUAGCUUUUGUUUAAUCCCAGGAAAUAUUUUCUAUUUAAUAUUAUAACAAUAUUUAAUAUCAUAGGGACAUAGGAUAAUUCAUGUUGGAAGGCACCUCGGGAGAUCAUCUAAUCCAAUCUCCUGCUCAAAGCAGGGUCAGUUAUGAGGUCAGACCAAUAUAUCAAUUGCAGCUAUUAAUGGCAAGUCUGAUUUCACUCUGUCUGAAGAAUUCUAGGCAUAAACAUAUAUAGACCAAAUAAAAAUCCCCAUCAGAACCCA